rnacentral:rRNA from 1 species
AUACGGAGGAUCCGAGCGUUAUCCGGAUUUAUUGGGUUUAAAGGGUGCGUAGGUGGUUUGAUAAGUCAGCGGUGAAAGUUUGCGGCUCAACCGUAAAAUUGCCGUUGAAACUGUCGGACUUGAGUGUAAAUGAGGUAGGCGGAAUGCGUGGUGUAGCGGUGAAAUGCAUAGAUAUCACGCAGAACUCCGAUUGCGAAGGCAGCUUACUAAGCUACAACUGACACUGAAGCACGAAAGCGUGGGGAUC